ACGGGAGGCAGCAGUGAGGAAUAUUGGUCAAUGGGCGGAAGCCUGAACCAGCCAAGUCGCGUGAAGGAUGAAGGUAUUAUGUAUUGUAAACUUCUUUAGACGUAGAGAAAUAAGGUGCUCGUGAGCACUGAUGCUAGUAUACGUAGAAUAAGGAUCGGCUAACUCCGUGCCAGCAGCCGCGGUAAUACGGAGGAUGCGAGCGUUAUCCGGAUUUAUUGGGUUUAAAGGGUGCGCAGGCGGCGCGUCAAGUCAGCGGUCAAAUCCCGGGGCUCAACCUCGGUUCGCCGUUGAAACUGCCGUGCUCGAGUUCGUGCGAGGAGAGCGGAAUGCGUGGUGUAGCGGUGAAAUGCAUAGAUAUCACGCAGAACGCCGAUUGCGAAGGCAGCCCUCCAGCACUGGACUGACGCUGAGGCACGAAAGCGUGGGUAUCGAACAGGAUUAGAUACCCUGGUA
rnacentral:rRNA from 1 species